rnacentral:lncRNA from 1 species
UCUCUCUCUCUCUCUCUCUCUCUCUCUCUCUCUCUCUCUCUAAAAGAUUGUGCCCCGCGGGUUCGAUAAGGGCGAAAGACGACACCGGCCCCGAAAGGCCGAAGAAGAAAAGAAGCUUCGCUUGAUCGCUGCGGCCGACGUAUCCCUCUCUCCAUUUCGGCCCACGCCUCCUUCCGAUCAGCCCUUCGACAGUAGAAACCCUACGUCCUCGCCGACCUUGCGACGCCC